AGGAGGAGGUAGUACCCAAGGAGAACCCUUUUUUCAAACUGCGCUCCUCAUCAAAUGUAAUUAAAGUGGAACAGGAUAUCCGGGAGGGCCGAGAAAGGGAGAAAGAGCUCCGCAGGCAGAGGAUCACUAUGUAUGGGGGCACAAAUGGAGGAGAAAAAGGAGGAGGUGAUGGAGGAGGAAGGAGGUCAGCCACCACUGAAGGAAAGAUUCAAAAGUCAUCUUCCAACCCACAGAAUGAGCUGCCUGUUCUUGACUUGCCUAAUUCAUCAACCCAGGGGGAAAUUGGACCCUCAGCAGCUCAGCAGUCUGUUGGGAAGUUGAGCACAUGGCCUCCGCCCAAGGCUGAAAAGGAGAGGACAGAGGUUCUCCUGAGUCCACGGACCCCCAGGCAGAAGACUCCUCUAGUACAGCGCUGGGAGUCAGGCCUGGUUAAUGGACACAUUGAGGACAACAACUGAGAAGACACCGACAGAGAAAAGUCAAGGAAACAGAGACUUGUAGUGUUGAAAAAACUGGAAGUCCAGGUACGGAAAGUGGGUACGGAAAUGAGGAGGGAGCAGUGAAAAAGAGGAGAGAUGGGAAAGAAUGCAAAGUGGGAAAGAGGUCAGGGAUUUAGGCUAGAAAGAGGGCCAGGAGGAUUGGGAGUGGACUGAAAGACCUUUAAAAGUCCUUCAGUGACUACAAGAGAAGAAGGAGCGGGCCACAGAGUAGUGGAAGAGCACUUGGCCUGCUUCUGCUGCUGGAAACACUGACACUAAUGAACAUAAAAUUGCAAAUAAUGAUGCUUCUCUGGAGAAGAAAGAAGUGUAAAGUUAGUAACAGUGGGGCAUUGAAACCUUUUUCGGAUUACAAUGAGUUAUUAUUUGCUGAUGAAAAUAGUUUAGCACAUUAUGGCAUACUGAACAAGGCAUGAAAAACAGUAUGUCAUCCCCAGUUUUAUGCUUUAAGUGAUGUCUGACAGCGCAAUACCACUUUAUUACGCCUGUACUAAUUCAAUCAAUAAUAGCCGUGCAAUAAAUCCGGAGUUUGUGUAG
rnacentral:lncRNA from 1 species